rnacentral:rRNA from 1 species
CUUGCUCUCCGGGUGACGAGCGGCGGACGGGUGAGUAAUGUCUGGGAAACUGCCCGAUGGAGGGGGAUAACUACUGGAAACGGUAGCUAAUACCGCAUAACGUCUUCGGACCAAAGUGGGGGACCUUCGGGCCUCACACCAUCGGAUGUGCCCAGAUGGGAUUAGCUAGUAGGUGAGGUAAUGGCUCACCUAGGCGACGAUCCCUAGCUGGUCUGAGAGGAUGACCAGCCACACUGGAACUGAGACACGGUCCAGACUCCUACGGGAGGCAGCAGUGGGGAAUAUUGCACAAUGGGCGCAAGCCUGAUGCAGCCAUGCCGCGUGUGUGAAGAAGGCCUUCGGGUUGUAAAGCACUUUCAGCGAGGAGGAAGGGUUCGGUGUUAAUAGCACCGUGCAUUGACGUUACUCGCAGAAGAAGCACCGGCUAACUCCGUGCCAGCAGCCGCGGUAAUACGGAGGGUGCAAGCGUUAAUCGGAAUUACUGGGCGUAAAGCGCACGCAGGCGGUUUGUUAAGUCAGAUGUGAAAUCCCCGAGCUUAACUUGGGAACUGCAUUUGAAACUGGCAAGCUAGAGUCUUGUAGAGGGGGGUAGAAUUCCAGGUGUAGCGGUGAAAUGCGUAGAGAUCUGGAGGAAUACCGGUGGCGAAGGCGGCCCCCUGGACAAAGACUGACGCUC